UUGGAGGGCAAGUCUGGUGCCAGCAGCCGCGGUAAUUCCAGCUCCAAUAGCGUAUAUUAAAGUUGUUGCAGUUAAAAAGCUCGUAGUUGAACUUCGGGAUCAAUGGAUUGGUCAUGCCGUUGGUAUGUACUGGUCAUAUUGGUUCUCACCUUCUAAGGAACCAUAAUGUCAUUCAUUUGAUGUUUUGGGGAAUUAGGACUGUUACCUUGAAAAAAUUAGAGUGUUUAAAGCAGGCUAACGCUUGAAUACAUUAGCAUGGAAUAAUGAAAUAGGACAUCGCAUUCUAUUUUGUUGGUUUCUAGGAUCGAUGUAAUGAUUAAUAGGGAUAGUUGGGGGCAUUAGUAUUCAAUUGUCAGAGGUGAAAUUCUUGGAUUUAUUGAAGACUAACUACUGCGAAAGCAUUUGCCAAGGAUGUUUUCAUUAAUCAAGAACGAAAGUUAGGGGAUCGAAGACGAUCAGAUACCGUCGUAGUCUUAACCAUAAACUAUGCCGACUAGGGAUCGGAUGAUGUUGAUUUUUUAAUGACUCAUUCGGCGCCUUACGGGAAAC
rnacentral:rRNA from 1 species